GGUUGGUCUGGGUGCAGUGGUGUUUACAACUAAUUGAUCACAACCAGUUGCAGUUGCCUUUGUUCCUUCUCCACUCAUACCGCUUCACUUGACCAACCCUAA
rnacentral:Y_RNA from 1 species